AGGCCAGGAUGGUCUCGAUCUCUUGACCUUGUGAUCCACCCACUUCGGCCUCCCAAAAUGCUAGGAUUAUAGGUGUGAGCCGCUGUGCCUGGCCUAAAACUCUUUGACACACACAAGGGUACAAUCAAUGUGUUACCAUAGGUGAGUUUAACCAAAUGUCCUUUAACAUUACCUUAGACUCCAGGGUUUCUCAACCUUGGUAAUAUUCAUACCUUGGGCAGAAUAUUUCCUUUUGUGGAAGGGCUGUGCUGAACAUUGUAUAAUAUUUAUCAGCAGUCCUGGCCUCCAUCCACUACAUACAAGUACCCUCCUCCCUGAUAUGACAACUAAAAAUGCCACCAGACAUUUGCCAAAUGUCCCUGAGGAGUGAGGAAGACGGGGGACAAAAUCACCCUUGGUUGAGACAUUUAUCUAUGUGUGUAGGUUGCUAUUAUUUGCAAUCCUAACCCUGGAAACAAGAAAAAUCUCCCAACAUCUGACCUGGAGGCUUACAGAAAAAAAAGUGCUUGUCAGUAACCAUUACACUUCGAUUUGGGAUUCCUGGGUGCAUAGCAAAAUAGAAAGUCGUCAGUUUUGUUUUGCUUUACUGAUGUGUGCUUUAGGGGAAAAGCAAAGUGAUCUGGUUGUGCUUGAAUGAGAUAGUGGUAUUUUCAUAACACAAUUAGAAUGGGGAAAAAUUGCAUGCAAUUAGGUUGAAAGAUGCCUUCUUUAAGAUGCACUUGGCAUAACAGAGCCAGCAGGUUGCAAAUUAUGGAAUGUAGAUUUUCAUUAUCGGGUCUGCAUAAUGUAUAGCUUGCAUUUAACAACCAGGUCUGAGGGUGGGUAGGAAGCAUGUCAAUUGUUUGGUGCGGUAACUAAGGCUUAACACUUUCUACCUCUGGUUUUUUUUAUUGCUGUUGCCUUAAUUUAAGCACAUUUGCCGCUAUAUUUGCAUUUUCUUCAGUUGCUCUUUUUUCUAGUGUAUUACCAUCAUGGUCGCUGCCAUUGACUAUCAGCAUCCUGUGGAAAAUCAUUUUAGAAUCCUCCCAAUGCUGGAGAGAGCAGAGAUGUGAAGCCUGGCCAUCCCCAACCCGGGCAUGCCCAAUGAGAUGACUGGGAAGACCAUGGCCUCAGUUUUUUCACUGGACAAAAUGGGAGGAGGGGCAGUCGAUGCUCAUUUUCCAGUUCCUGCCUGACCCUCUCUGACCCUUUACUUUUUAAAUCAUUCAUCAAAUGACCAUUUUAAAGUUUUAAAAAAUUUUCAGUUCAUCAUUACUAUCAUUUUUCAUCAUAUUUCACUGGGGCCUUAUUCUUGCCAGGAAACUCUCUGCCCUAGUUCAAAACCUAGCUUACCACUUAUGACAGUAGUCCCCCCUUAUCUGUGGUUUCACUUUCUGUGGUUUCAGUUAUCUAGUCAGCCACAGUCUGAAAAUAUCAAAAGAAAAAUUUCAGAAAGAAAUAAUUCAUAUGUUUUCAAUUACGCACUGUUGCUGAGUAGCGUGAUGAAAUCUCUCUCUGUCCCUCUCUAUCCUGCCUGAGACGUGAUGCAUCCAUGUGUCCGGCGUGUCUGCGCCGUAGACAGUACCUGCCUGUUAGUCACUUAGCAGCCAUCUCGGUUAUCAGACCGGCGGCCAUUGUAUUGCAGCAGUGCUUGUACUCAAUUAUUUAACUCAACUAUUCUAUUUUAUUAUUAAUUGUUGUUAAUCUCUUCCUGUGGCUAAUUUAUAAAUUACACUUUAUUAUAAGGUAUCCAUAUACAGGAAAAAACAUAAUAUACAUAGGAUUCAGUACUAUUUGUGGUUUCUGGCAACCACUGCAGGGGGGUUGCCUGGAAUGUAUCCUCAUGGACUACUGUAGCUGGAAAAUUGACUGAACUUCUAAUCAGGGGUCAUAGUCAAAAUAGAUAAAAUUGUUGAGGCUCAACCAGUUCAAGCAGAUGACAGCACAGCCCAGGAGCAGGUACUGGGAGUUCCUGCUGUACCAGGCGCUCAGCUUUGAGUCACUGGAUCAUGUGAAAGCAGGGAGGGGAACAGGCCAAGUGGGGAGCAGUCAAAGGAGGUGACCCAGAGGAGGACUUGGAGUAGCCAGAGUACAGGAGAGUGCUUGGGGGAAUCAGGGUAGCAGAUUUACCACAGAUGCGGAAGCCACAGACUGUUAGUUCCGAGACUGAUUAAGUCUCACCUGCCUCAUACAAAAUGGAAAUUCAAAUAGUGUUUAUUGAUAGGGUUAUUAUGGUGCUUCACGGAGAUUUUGCAAGUAAAGCACAUAGCAUAAGGCCUGAUGCAGCAUAAGUGCUCAAUAAAUAUUAGCCAAUAUUAUUAUCAUUACCCGAUUGUGUCUUCCAUAUCUCUUUUUGUGUUUCUUCAUUGCUUUAUCCUACCCACAUGUCUAUUCUGUGCAUUUCUGGUUCUAUUUCCCCAUUUCUCUAUUGUUCCUGUUUAAAGUUUUCUCAUGUCCUUAAUGUUGUUUCUGCCCUUUUAUGUUUCUCUAUUUUAUUUCUCCUUUUCUGUUAGUAUUUUGUCAUGCAUAUCUCCCAAAUUUAUGUGGGAAUGAAUAUGUGAAUGGAAUGGGAAUAUGAGGCACAAAGCAAUUUUCAAAAUAAUGGAUGCCUGCAAGUGAAAACGAAGGGAGGGGGAUAUUUCACUGGCACCAUAACUGGGAUUCACAGACUUUCUGCUGAGUUUUGAGGUUAUGGAAAACCCAUGUGCCUGUAUGACAGAGUUCUGUCCAUGGGAAAAAGGAGACUUAGAGGAGGGUGUCUGGGGUGUUGUGUCAGGGCCAGAGACUGAGCUACGGGCAAAUAAUACAGUACGUUCCCAGACUUGCGUCAGAGCCCAAGAGGAAGGAAGAGCGCGGUGAAAGCUGAGGAAGUCAUUUAUGUAACGGACUCUGUGAGAUCAGAGACAAGGAGUAAAAUGCCUGAGCUCAAGUGACAACAAGCAACCCCAGACUAGAGACAGGAUCCUUCUCCCCACUUCGAGCAGAUCCCAGCAUGAAUCCUGCAGUAUGGUGAUGGCAAAAGUCAGUGCAGGACCACUGGGACUCCUGGAGCUUCUCACAUCUCUGAGAGCACCAGCAGCAGGUAUUUUGCUCAAAGCAGAGGUGUUCUCAGGGGGGGAUGGUUUGACCAAAUGUAUCUACGGUGCCUUGUGGGAGUGGGCAUAGCAUGUGAAGACCAGAAUAAAGACCUCGUAAGAGAAGUGGUUGUCAGCUGUCAAUGAUGCUCCAAAUAACUGAAAUUCAUGGCGAGUUAGAGUCAUGUGGGGUGAUGCAAAGAUUCUGAGGGUACCCGUGGAAGCUGCAGUCUAGCAGAGUGGGUUUUAAGCACUGAAGUUACCUCAUUUGUGUCUACAGGCUGGGCUAUGGGUUGGCUGUUUGACCCCCUCAAACCUCAUGUUGAAGUUUGAUUCCAGUGUUGGAAGGGGGUCUAAUUCGAGGUGUCUGGGUAGUAGGAGCAGAUCCCCAUUAAUAGAUGAAUGCCCUUUCUGAGGGGAGGGAGUGACUGAGUUCUCACCAUGUUAGUUCCCAUGAGAGACAGCUGUGAAAAAGAGCCUGGCACUAUUUCUCCCUCUCUUGCUUCCUCUCCCACCAUGUGAUCUCUGCACAGCCAGCUCUCCUCUGCCGUUUGCCAUGAGUGGAAGCAGCCUGAGGCCUCACCUGAUGCAGAUGCCACUGCCAUGCUUCUAGUAGAGCCCACAGAACCAUGAGCCAAACAAACCUUUCUUCUUAUUGUUUUUCUUCCCAACUUUUGUUUUAGUUGGGAAAUAAAGGCCCAGUGGAGUGUUUUCUCCACUGUGUUGUGACAGUGGGCCAUGAACUUGCCUCAUCUUCCUAAUAGUUAUCUACUACUUAAUGUCCGAAGAAACAUAUGUAUUGGCUUGACUAAUGUUACAUUUAUGUUGUUAAGAAACAUGUACUCAGGGGCUACAUGUGCAGGUUUGCUACAUGGGUAAAUUUCAUACCAUAGGAGUUUGGUGUACAGAUUAUUUUGUCAUCCAGGAAAUAAGCAUAGCAUCUAUAGGUAUGUUUUUGAUCCGCACCCUCCUCCUAUCCUCCACCCUCAAGCAGGCUUUGGUGUCUAUUGUUCCUUUCUUUGUGUACAUGUGUACUCCAUGUUUAGCUUUCACUUACAAGUGAGAACAUGAGGUAUUUGGUUUUUUGUUCCUGCAUGAAUUAUCUUAGGAUAAUGGCAUUCAGCUCCAUCCAUGUUGCUGCAAAAGACACGAUCUCAUUGUUUUUUAAUAGUGGCAUAGUAUUCCAUGGUGUAUAUAUACCAUGUUUUCUUUAUUCAGUCCACUGUUGAUGGGCAUGUAGGUUGACUCCAUGUUUUUGCUAUUGUGAAUAGUGCUGAGAUAAACAUACAUGUCCAUGUGUCUUUAUGGUAGAACAAUUAAUAUUACUUUGGGUAUACACCGAGUAACAGAAUUGCUGGGUCAAAAGGCUGUUCUACGUUAAGUUCUUUGAGAAAUCUCCAAACUGCUUUCCACAAUGGCUGAACUAAUUUACAUUCCCACUAACAGUGUAUAAGUAUUUCCUUUUCUCUCCAAUAAACCUCUUGUCUUUAUAAAUUACCCAGCCUCAGAUAUUCCUUCAUGGCAUUUCAAAACAGACUAAGACAUGGUGGUUGUCUGAAGUUAUAGAGGCAGAUACAAAAAGGAAAAUUAUGCUAAUUACUACUUCUAACCUCAUCCCUCACUCCACCUUUCAGAAAUUAGGAUUAAGUAUGUCUGGGGCAAGGCCCAGGAAUCUGAACUUUUAACGAGUACACCAUCCUCCCCUUCUGUUCCUAUCCUAGAUCCUUAGAAUAUACACAAAGUUUUCAUGGACCACACAUUAUGAAACACUGGAUUAGCGCAAAGUGAAAUGCUUCCAGAGUAGGAGCCACUAUUCUGAGGAAUCUUGGAAGAAAAAGUAUCAAAAUAUGUUACUAUGUUUUGGGGGGAUAGAGACAGAACUUAAAAUUGAUUGAACUCCAAAUAUGGCCAAUUUUUUGGAUGAUUUAAUCUUUCCCUAAAGCUCUUUGUUUACCCAUAAAAUGUGAACUUUCCUUGACUUUGACUGGGUAUGGAGUAGAUUGAUGGUAUUGACUGAUAUUUUUGAGUGUGUAGUUUGUGGUUUUAUGAGGCAUUUUUAUAUUGUCUUUACACUUUUGGAAAGUAUAUGCAAUUGCUAAAACUUCAACGUUAUCUUUUUCUUUUGAUGAAAUAGAAAACAUCGCCCAUUUCAUCUGUUUCUUCAGUCCCCAGAUAGCAGAUGACUGGUAGGAAGAUGAGGCAAGUUUGCGGUCCAUUGUCAUGGAUAGUGGAGACAACACUGGGCCAGAAGUGGUAAGACCUGAAUCCAAGACUCAGCUCUGCCACUUGCUAAAUGGGACUUUGAAUAAACCAUUUCUCUGCACUUAAGUUCCUUACCAACAAAACGAGGGAAGUGGCCUACAUGCCUAGAUAUCAACAUUUCAUGUCACGUAGAGAUCUAGCAUCACAAGAAUCCAAGUCAUCCUCUGUUGCCUUUAAGAUUUCAGCAUGGUGAAGGAAAAGUAGCAGAAGACUGAAUGCAUACUCAGUUUUCAAGCUCUGGAUUUAAUCUUUCCAUAGCUGGAAUUGCCUCCUCCUCAAAAGCCUUAUUUGUUCAUUUAAUUGGGGCAACAUGAAAUAAUGAUGUAUCAUUGACAGAGAACAGGGGGCUUAGGUUCUCAUCUUGGUCCUAGUGAUUACUCUAUGCAUAACCUCAACUUCUUUAUCUGUACAUUGGGAACAAUAAUUCUUACUCCACUUGUUGUGUUGAAACUGAAUUAUAUAAUUCAUAAAUUAAAACACCAAAUUCUGAUAAAUGCUAAAUGCCAUUUUCUUAUCUUGUUCUUUCCUAUAAUGC
rnacentral:lncRNA from 10 species